AUACGUAGGGGGCGAGCGUUGUCCGGAAUGAUUGGGCGUAAAGGGCGCGUAGGCGGCCCGGUAAGUCUGGAGUGAAAGUCCUGUUUUUAAGAUGGGAAUUGCUUUGGAUACUGUCGGGCUUGAGUGCAGGAGAGGUAAGUGGAAUUCCCAGCGUAGCGGUGAAAUGCGUAGAGAUUGGGAGGAACACCAGUGGCGAAGGCGACUUACUGGACUGUAACUGACGCUGAGGCGCGAAAGUGUGGGGAGCAAACAGGAUUAGAUACCCUGGUAGUCCACACUGUAAACGAUGAAUGCUAGGUGUAGGGGGUAUCGACCCCUUCUGUGCCGCAGUCAACACAAUAAGCAUUCCGCCUGUGGAGUACGGCCGCAAGGUUGAAACUCAAAUGAAUUGACGGGG
rnacentral:rRNA from 1 species